CCAUAUUUAACGUCAUCGGUCACCGAUCCGGACAGUACUGACACCAAAACAUUCUCCAUUUUACCAAGUUCUAACUCGGCUAACUUCAAUAUCGAUACUUCAACCGGGCGUAUAACAUACGCCGUCGACUACGACGCUGAUCCUAAACGGUUGCCAGAUAGAGUAACCUUGAAUGUGCAAGUAGAGGACAAAGGUGGAUUGACGGACACGUGUAUUGUUGACGUCACUAUCAACAAUAUUAACCAAGCACCAACAAUAACAAACGCACCAGCUACUGUCAGCAUUGCAGAGGAUACCCUCGGUGGUUCCCUGAUAUAUGACGUCAGUGCUACAGAUAUUGAUUCAGCAGACGAAACGACGAUAUACUACAGAUUCCUGGAUUCACGAAGUUCAUCUAUGUUUGAUAUAGAUUCAACUGGAAGAGUGACAUUAAAACCAGAUAAAGCACUUGACUAUGAAACUGAUUCCUAUUACCGCAUCCAGUUCGAGGCUUCAGACUCUCAGCUUAACUCCACGUCCGCCAUCUUAGAGAUUUUUAUCACCAAUGUUAACGAAGCUCCUAGUUUCUCAACAAGUUUUACGACAACCGUUAAUGAAGGACCGGCUGGUACAGCUUUGCCGUUUUCUGGAAUCGGAACUUAUUCGUCUGACCCUGAGAGAGACACACUGACCUAUGAUAUUGUAGGUGGGGUUAACCAGGACAUGUUUACGAUGGACCCGACAAGUGCUGCUAUUAGCUUUGCUAAAGACUACGAAGUCGAUGCCACACAACAACCGGGAUUUGUUCAACUGACAGUUCGGGCUGCGGAUCCGGAUGGGUUGUCUACAACUGCU